UGCAGCCCAGUCAAAUUCGGUCCCUGCCCCACCCAUGGCCGGGACCGGCCACCGGCUGCCACAGCAACCUCCGUGCCCACGAGCCCCAGGUCCCUGUCUGUGAGACCUGGGGGGUGAAUCCCACUGGAGACACGA